UGCGUAGGCGGGUCUUUAAGUCAGGGGUGAAAUCCUGGAGCUCAACUCCAGAACCGCCUUUGAUACUGAAGAUCUUGAGUUCGGGAGAGGUGAGUGGAACUGCGAGUGUAGAGGUGAAAUUCGUAGAUAUUCGCAAGAACACCAGUGGCGAAGGCGGCUCACUGGCCCGAUACUGACGCUGAGGCACGAAAGCGUGGGAGCAAACA
rnacentral:rRNA from 1 species